CCUACGGGAGGCAGCAGUGGGGACUAUUGCACAAUGGGGGAAACCCUGAUGCAGCGACGCCGCGUGAGUGAAGAAGUAUUUCGGUAUGUAAAGCUCUAUCAGCAGGGAAGUUAAUGACGGUACCUGAGUAAGAAGCCCCGGCUAACUACGUGCCAGCAGCCGCGGGAAGACGUAGGGGGCACGCGUUCUCCGGAUUUACUGGGGGUAAAGGGAGCGUAGACGGCAUGGCAAGUCUGAAGUGAAAGCGCGGGGUUCAACCGUAGGAAUGCUUUGGAAACUGUUAAGCUGGAGUGCAGGAGAGGUAAGUGGAAUUCCUAGUGUAGCGGUGAAAUGCGUAGAUAUUAGGAGGAACACCAGUGGCGAAGGCGGCUUACUGGACUGCAACUGACGUUGAGGCUCGAAAGCGUGGGGAGCAAACAGGAUUAGAUACCCGAGUAGUC
rnacentral:rRNA from 1 species